rnacentral:rRNA from 1 species
AGAGUUUGCUCCUGCGUAGAUUGAACGCUGGCGGCAGGCCUAACACAUGCAAUUCGAGCGGUAGAGAGGAGCUUGCUCCUCUUGAGAGCGGCGGACGGGUGAGUAAUGCCUAGGAAUCUGCCUGGUAGUGGGGGAUAACGUUCGGAAACGGACGCUAAUACCGCAUACGUCCUACGGGAGAAAGCAGGGGACCUUCGGGCCUUGCGCUAUCAGAUGAGCCUAGGUCGGAUUAGCUAGUUGGUGAGGUAAUGGCUCACCAAGGCGACGAUCCGUAACUGGUCUGAGAGGAUGAUCAGUCACACUGGAACUGAGACACGGUCCAGACUCCUACGGGAGGCAGCAGUGGGGAAUAUUGGACAAUGGGCGAAAGCCUGAUCCAGCCAUGCCGCGUGUGUGAAGAAGGUCUUCGGAUUGUAAAGCACUUUAAGUUGGGAGGAAGGGCAGUAAAUUAAUACUUUGCUGUUUUGACGUUACCGACAGAAUAAGCACCGGCUAACUCUGUGCCAGCAGCCGCGGUAAUACAGAGGGUGCAAGCGUUAAUCGGAAUUACUGGGCGUAAAGCGCGCGUAGGUGGUUUGUUAAGUUGGAUGUGAAAUCCCCGGGCUCAACCUGGGAACUGCAUUCAAAACUGACUGACUAGAGUAUGGUAGAGGGUGGUGGAAUUUCCUGUGUAGCGGUGAAAUGCGUAGAUAUAGGAAGGAACACCAGUGGCGAAGGCGACCACCUGGACUAAUACUGACACUGAGGUGCGAAAGCGCGGGGAGCAAACAGGAUUAGAUACCCUGGUAGUCCACGCCGUAAACGAUGUCAACUAGCCGUUGGAAGCCUUGAGCUUUUAGUGGCGCAGCUAACGCAUUAAGUUGACCGCCUGGGGAGUACGGCCGCAAGGUUAAAACUCAAAUGAAUUGACGGGGGCCCGCACAAGCGGUGGAGCAUGUGGUUUAAUUCGAAGCAACGCGAAGAACCUUACCAGGCCUUGACAUCCAAUGAACUUUCUAGAGAUAGAUUGGUGCCUUCGGGAACAUUGAGACAGGUGCUGCAUGGCUGUCGUCAGCUCGUGUCGUGAGAUGUUGGGUUAAGUCCCGUAACGAGCGCAACCCUUGUCCUUAGUUACCAGCACGUCAUGGUGGGCACUCUAAGGAGACUGCCGGUGACAAACCGGAGGAAGGUGGGGAUGACGUCAAGUCAUCAUGGCCCUUACGGCCUGGGCUACACACGUGCUACAAUGGUCGGUACAGAGGGUUGCCAAGCCGCGAGGUGGAGCUAAUCCCACAAAACCGAUCGUAGUCCGGAUCGCAGUCUGCAACUCGACUGCGUGAAGUCGGAAUCGCUAGUAAUCGCGAAUCAGAAUGUCGCGGUGAAUACGUCCCCGGGCCUUGUACACACCGCCCGUC